GGACGAACGCUGGCGGCGUGCUUAACACAUGCAAGUCGAGCGGGGCCCAUCCUGUCGCAAGACAGGGGAAGGCCUAGCGGCGAACGGGUGAGUAACACGUGAGGAACCUGCCCCGAAGACUGGGAUAACACCGGGAAACCGGUGCUAAUACCGGAUACCCACGAAAGACCGCAUGAUCAUUCGUGGAAAUGAAUUUCGCUUCGGGAGGGCCUCGCGGCCUAUCAGCUAGUUGGCGGGGUAACGCCCACAAGGCUACGACGGGUAGCUGGUCUGAGAGGACGACCAGCCACACUGGGGCUGAGACACGGCCCAGACUCCUACGGGAGGCAGCAGGUGGGGAAUCUUGCUCAAUGGGCGCAAGCCUGAAGCAGCAACGCCGCGUGCGGGACG
rnacentral:rRNA from 1 species